rnacentral:rRNA from 1 species
AUGAAAGAAGCCAGCAUGGAACAACCGUGUGAGCCAUCAGACAACUAUGGACAGAGCCGGCAGAUUUAUAGUUGGGAAAUCAGAAUUAUGAUUAAACCUUGGAGCAGCAGGUACGAGAUUGUGAUUAAGAAAUUUUUUGGUUUACGCGUUACGCGAUCGCCGCACGCACCAUGGAGAUCCGCCGAGUCCGAGUCGAAAGAAACUUGCACUGCACUAGUACGAGUCCCAAGGAAAUUCCACAGCGGUGAGGGCAGGCAACAUCAAAAGUGUUUUCAUCGCUGUUAUUUUUAUGGGAAGACGAGGUUGAACCGUCAGACCAGAGGAAAGUACUAG